rnacentral:rRNA from 1 species
AUUGAACGCUGGCGGCAUGCUUUACACAUGCAAGUCGGACGGCAGCACAGAGAAGCUUGCUUCUUGGGUGGCGAGUGGCGAACGGGCGAGUAACGCAUCGGAACGUACCGAGUAAUGGGGGAUAACUGUCCGAAAGGACAGCUAAUACCGCAUACGCCCUGAGGGGGAAAGCGGGGGAUCUUAGGACCUCGCGUUAUUCGAGCGGCCGAUGUCUGAUUAGCUGGUUGGCGGGGUAAAGGCCCACCAAGGCGACGAUCAGUAGCGGGUCUGAGAGGAUGAUCCGCCACACUGGGACUGAGACACGGCCCAGACUCCUACGGGAGGCAGCAGUGGGGAAUUUUGGACAAUGGGCGCAAGCCUGAUCCAGCCAUGCCGCGUGUCUGAAGAAGGCCUUCGGGUUGUAAAGGACUUUUGUCAGGGAAGAAAGGGAGCGUGCCAAUACCAUGCUCUGAUGACGGUACCUGAAGAAUAAG